rnacentral:lncRNA from 1 species
CCAACGUGUACACAGCAAAACAAGACUCCGCAAUCAAAUGGAAAUACCUCUAAGCAUUCGAAUAAGAAGUAAAAUUUACGAUGAGAAAAAAAUUAAAAGAAAAUAACCAUCUGUAUUUCAAGAAGUGGCCAUCAAGGGGAUUGGACUCGUUUACAUCCUCAGUGAUGACAGAAUUGUCGGACCGCUUCAAGAGCACGUACGGCGUUAGCUCGCAUCCUAUAUCGGAAUGUCCGAUGGAAGGUGCAACCGAAGCACACUCAACAUUUUGUACAAAGCUCUCUAGACUUCAAUGGUACAAACUCUUCUCCUGCCACCGUUCCUUCAAACCCUGCCCCAAAGAAAGCAAAAACCAAAUAUUCAAGCACCAAAAGCUGGCAGACUUGUGGCUUAUCCGCCAUCACCUGUCUCCAGCGCCAAACGGCAGACUUGCACUCUGCCUCUCUCUAUUAAAACCCUAAAUAAUAAAAUUCAGAAUAAUUUUAAACAAAUAUAGCCUACUGAAGAUCUACAGAAC